UACGGAGGGGGCUAGCGUUGUUCGGAAUUACUGGGCGUAAAGCGCGCGUAGGCGGUUUAUCAAGUUGGGAGUGAAAUCCCGGGGCUUAACCUCGGAAUUGCUUUCAAAACUGGUAAACUAGAGAUCGGUAGAGGAUAGCGGAAUUCCUAGUGUAGAGGUGAAAUUCGUAGAUAUUAGGAGGAACACCGGAGGCGAAGGCGGCUAUCUGGACCGAUUCUGACGCUAAGGCGCGAAAGCGUGGGGAGCAAACAGG
rnacentral:rRNA from 1 species